rnacentral:rRNA from 1 species
GGGCCCGCACAAGCGGUGGAGCAUGUGGUUCAAUUCGACGCAACGCGAAGAACCUUACCCAGGCUUGAACAGCGAGUGACCACUCUCGAAAGAGAGCUUCCGCAAGGACACUCGUAGAGGUGCUGCAUGGCUGUCGUCAGCUCGUGUCGUGAGAUGUUGGGUUAAGUCCCGCAACGAGCGCAACCCUUGUCUGCUGUUGCCAUCACGUUAUGGUGGGCACUCUGCAGAGACUGCCGGUGAUAAACCGGAGGAAGGUGGGGAUGACGUCAAGUCAGCAUGGCCUUUAUGUCUGGGGCUACACACGUGCUACAAUGGCCGAUACAAACCGUCGCGAUACCGUAAGGUGGAGCUAAUCGGAGAAAGUCGGUCUCAGUUCGGAUUGUAGGCUGCAACUCGCCUGCAUGAAGUUGGAAUCGCUAGUAAUCGCGGAUCAGCACGCCGCGGUGAAUACGUUCCCGGGCCUU